GCUACAAGGCGCAGCCCGGAGCGUUUCACGUCUCGGUGGUGAGAAGUUGCCGGCACCGUGCAGCACCGGAGCUCCCAGGCAGCCCGUAGGCCACGCUGACCGGCUCUCUGUGCCCGGGCUGCCUGCCUUCGGGGGGAACGUCCUCCCUCUGCGUGCCGAGGGGGCUGGAAGGAGGGCAGCCCGUGAAGAGGAGCGGUAGCAGAAGUCACGCCGCAGGCCGAGCCAGACGGGCGAGCAAUACAAGCUGUGAAUUUAUUGUUGACACCUGCAGGACAGUGACCACCUUCGCCGUCGUCUUCGCCAUACAGAGAUGCGCUGUCAGUGAGGAUCGCAGGUAUGGGCAUCACUGCAAACAGGAA
rnacentral:lncRNA from 1 species